rnacentral:rRNA from 1 species
GGGAACGUGCCUUUAGGUUCGGAAUAGCUCCUGGAAACGGGUGGCAAUGCCGAAUGUGCCCUUCGGGGGAAAGAUUUAUCGCCUUUAGAGCGGCCCGCGUCUGAUUAGCUAGUUGGUUGAGGUAACGGCUCACCAAGGCGACGAUCAGUAGCUGGUCUGAGAGGAUGGCCAGCCACAUUGGGACUGAGACACGGCCCAAACUCCUACGGGAGGCAGCAGUGGGGAAUCUUGCGCAAUGGGCGAAAGCCUGACGCAGCCAUGCCGCGUGAAUGAUGAAGGUCUUAGGAUUGUAAAAUUCUUUCACCGGGGACGAUAAUGACGGUACCCGGAGAAGAAGCCCCGGCUAACUUCGUGCCAGCAGCCGCGGUAAUACGAAGGGGGCUAGCGUUGCUCGGAAUUACUGGGCGUAAAGGGCGCGUAGGCGGACAUUUAAGUCAGGGGUGAAAUCCCAGAGCUCAACUCUGGAACUGCCUUUGAUACUGGGUGUCUUGAGUGUGAGAGAGGUAUGUGGAACUCCGAGU